UCCAUAAUUGCAGGGAAAGGACGAGAAUCAGAUCACAUAUUCGAAAGUCUACCUGAAAAUUCACACUGGUGCCUCAGAGAGAGGAAUGACAGUGAACAACUCAUUGAAUGGAUUAAAGAAUGUGUGCUUGUAAUAGCAUCUGUCUUGAAGGACUUCAUUGCAAACAUUGAAGGAAGUUUACUUACUUCUGACUUACAAGAGAAUUGGCUUAGCGUCCCAGAUGAAGGAACUCUGGUUGGAAAAAUUAAUGCCAUCCAAAGGUAAUGAUACAGAAAGCACUUGCAGAACUGUACCAAUGUAGAAGCAGUGUUUUUGUAAGGUACAUAGGCUUGUGUUUACAGAAUUAUAAGCUGGAGUGAUGUCCCAUGCCAAGAGGUUUCCUUAGCAAUGACACGUAUUGUCACUUUUUAAACAUGUUCAUUUCUCAAACUAGAAUGUUGAACCAUGUCUGUAAUCAC
rnacentral:lncRNA from 1 species